rnacentral:rRNA from 1 species
UACAGAGGGUGCAAGCGUUAUUCGGAGUUACUGGGCGUAAAGAGCGCGUAGGCGGUUCGAUAAGUCUAAUGUGAAAUCCCUGGACUCAAUUCAGGAAGUGCAUUGGAUACUGUCGAACUAGAGUGUAGGAGGGGACAGCGGAAUUCCAGGUGUAGAGGUGAAAUUCGUAGAUAUCUGGAGGAACAACAGUGGCGAAGGCGG